rnacentral:rRNA from 1 species
UACGUAGGGGGCGAGCGUUGUCCGGAAUCAUUGGGCGUAAAGAGCUCGUAGGCGGUUCAGUAAGUCAGGUGUGAAAGCUCCGAGCUCAACUCGGAGAGGCCACCUGAUACUGCUGUGGCUAGAAUCCAGUAGGGGAGUGUGGAACUCCUGGUGUAGCGGUGAAAUGCGCAGAUAUCAGGAGGAACACCGGUGGCGAAGGCGGUUCUCUGGGCCUGUACUGACGCUGAGGAGCGAAAGCGUGGGGAGCGAACAGG